AAGAGUUAGGGUCUUCUAGGCCCGAUCUCCCAACCCUUUGUUUACCCAACCAUCGUUGCUUCGGCGGGCCCGUCCUCCAAGGACCGUCGGGGGACCGUCAAAACGUCCUCUGGCCAGUGCCCGUCGGUGGCCAACCUACUUAAAUUCUUAAUUAAACGUGUCAUUAUCUGAGUACUAUAUAAAAUAAAGCA
rnacentral:misc_RNA from 2 species